GGACUUUUGAUUAGGCUUAAGAAGUCCUAAAUCAUUAAGGAUUUGGUAGAAAUCCUAAUGGGUUUAGAUCAAACAUGCUAGCACGUAAUUAAGUCCAUGAAUCCCCAUCUAUUAGAAUUCCUAAUUGGACUAGGAAUUAGUUAUGACAAUUGGUUGGUGCCUAACUAACUCUCUCCCUCUCUUUCCUUUCUUACGAAGGAAUCCUUGUUGGACAAGGAUCCCUCCACACCCCCUAUUCCACAUGCCCAAUGGUUGGGUGUUGGGUUUAUGAUGGAGUCCUUUUAGGACUCCAAGGAUGACUCACAUGGGACGCCCAAGAGUUGGGUUCCCAUGUGGAUACUUGUCUAUAAAAGGGGCUGACGCCCAAGGGGUUUAGGGGCUGGUUUCCACAUGCCUAAGAGAGAGGAAAAGAGAGAGAAGUCAUAAGCCAAAGAUUGGUGGCGCAAGGAGAAGAGGAAGAAAGGCAUGUGCUGAAUUCUUUAGAAGAAAUUCAGCAAAAGUAGAUUGGGAAAAAUCUUUGAUCAAGACUCGUGUGGAUACUGUUGGAAGGCAUACGCGUGUGUGCCUCAAGAGAGACCAAUCAGUGAUCAAAGCAAAUUGAUUAGAAAGUAUAUCAAUUCCUCUUUCUCCUUUGAUAGCUAUAUGUUUCAUGUUUGGUUAGAAUCAUCAAGGUGAUUAUGGGAUUGGGAUUUGGAUCACAAAGUGUUGAUGCAUGAUUAAGAUUUUAAAAUCUAUUUUUCGCUGCGUAUCUGAAUCUCAACAGUGGUAUCAGAGCCAUCCUUGAUUGAUUCAAUUAAACGGCAUAUUAUUGUUGUGGUAUAGAUUAGAUUUAGUUCAUCAUAUGUCAUGUGCUAAAAUUUCAGCAUUGCUGAUUUCCUGUAUUGAUCUCUGAAAUAAAAAAAUUUUGCUCAUGAUCAAUUUUUAUUAUCAGAAUCCACGAAUUUAGAGCUUGUAUGACAAGUUGGGGAACCUUCUAGCCAUCUGAAUUCGUUAAGGAUUCACUGUGAUUCGCAUCAGAUGCAUACGGGAAAAGGCUGUAGCAUGAGAUGCUAUCCCUUUCGCAAUUGAUUAUGCACGACUGGCCACCCUCAUAGUUAGAUGAGCCAUGGUGGGGUGUCCUAACAUGCUAUCUUAUCUAAGAGGGAUGGAGCUUCAUUGAUGGGGCGUCCCACAGUUCUAUGUUGGGCAUCCCACAUGAAUCAUGAGAGAAAGGUGCAACAAGUCAGAUUCAGGGUUUCAUGAACUUUUCCUUGACUACAAUUCAUGAUGCUAAUUGGGUUAGUCUUUAUGAUUGUAGAUCAACUCAAAUACAUGAGUUCUAAUCAGAUUAGCACUCUUAAUUAAUUAAGGGUUAAUCAAGUUGUCAUUGCCCUAAUUUGACUAGAGUUUGAGUCAUGGUUGGCUAGAUCUUGGAAACCCGAUUUGAUUGGAUUUGUUUAAGAUCUUGCUAAUCUAAUUCAAAAGGUGACAUGAGAUUGACUCAUAAUUAAUGACAUAGGUCGAGUUGAAUCCAUGUGAUCUUGAUUAGGUCAAGAGUUGAACCAAAAUCAAGAUUAUUGGACCGAAGACACAUGAAAAACCCUAUAUGGGUUUGAACCCAUAUUGAAAUUACAUAAACAUAUGUUUGAAUGAUAUCACAAUUGGAAUAACAUGAUUUAUUCUAAUUCCAUGCUUUACUCUUAUACAUUGCGUGGUGGAUGGUUAUGGACUAGAAGCACCCAUAAGAUGGAUGUUUAUGAUAUAUGUAUCUGUGAUGGCUGAUUGUAUGAAUGUAUUUGCAAUGGUUGUAAAUUUUUUUAAAUAGGGACGUGGAGUCCUUGAUGUAUUCAUAUAAUUAGCUGUAUCUUUUUUUUCUUCCAAUGUAUUUUUUCAACUACCGAUCGGGAUGUUUUAUAUGUUGAUGUAAAAGUAAGGAUAGGGAAUUUGAUUUGUAAAUGGAUAGAAAAUGUUUCUUUAUGUUUACGAAUGAAGAAAGAAGAUGAAGCACUUGUCAAAGUCUUCAUGGAGAUGAAGACAGGACUACUAGAUGGAUCAAGAGCUGAGGUGCAUGAAGAUCAACCAUGAGAUGGCUGAUUUUGUGAUGCACUUAGGAUGAGAUCCAUAAUUUAUCCAAGUGGUUCGAAUGGAUUACAUUAGGAAAGUCCAUAACCAUUCUGUUUUAAUUUAUGCUCUCUUAUGUUGGUAGUUAGAUGUAUAUACUGCCUAUGAUGGAUAUAUACAUGUUAUGGAUGUGCAUGAGAUCAAAAGUCCCUUAUAAAAGAUUAUAUUAAGUUUUAAUGGCGAAAGUGUUAAAAACAUUAUCUAUGUUUUCUUUCGUGCCAAGCUAAUAGAGUAUAUUAAAAACUGUAGUGGAUUUGUUGUGCUAUCUAUAAGACUCGUUAUGGGGUUCGUAUGAUGUUGACUUAGUGUAUAGUGAUGUUUAUGGCAUAAUUGAGUACGCUACCUUGUUGUGCGAUCCAUAAAAGGUAGUAUUAUUUAGAUAUGACCAUAUGGGAAUGAAAGGUGUGACUUGACUAACAUGUUGUAGCUUGUUGUGCUAUCCACAAUGCUACAAGUAUUUUAGAGGCAAAAGAAAAAUUGAAAGUUGUAUGAGAUGCAAUUGGUAAGAGUUAUUUAUUCUUGAACUCAUCGAAGUUUGUUUUUCUAUCCAUAAGAUUUAUACGAGGGAUUGGGACCUCAACCCUAUUAAGGAAUCUAGCAACAGGAUCUCUUGUUUUCUAUACUAGUGCUAUAGAAUUCGUCAAAUAAAUGGAAAACACGAUUAGACAAAAGAUCUCAUCUAAUUGUGCAUGUCAUCAUGAGUAGUUUGCUUAUGAUUUAUUCUUGUUUUGUAGAUUUAAUCUGCAUCAUGGUAUUGUCACUAACACUGUGUGGCAUACUUGAUGUCGAUAAAUUGAUUGGAUCAAAUUAUACGACUAGUUGAGGAACUUAAGAAUAGUUCUCAUCCUGGAGAAAGUCUUCUAUAUUCUUGAUGCUCCUGAUCCCAAUCCUAUUGGGAAUGAUGCUACUGAGGAAAAGGCCGUAUAUAAGAUGUGACAGGAUGAUAUUAUAAUUGUUAAGUGUAUUAUGUUGGCCUCCAUGAACAAUGAGUUGUAGAGGCAGCAUGAGAGCAUGGAACCGUAAUCUAUACUCAAGCUAAAGAGGUUAUAUGGAGAGCAUAGUAUAAUUGCUAGAUAUGAGAUAUCGAAGCAGUAGUUCCGUGCGAGGAUGAGCGAGGGCACAUUCGUAUAGACCCAUAUGCUCAAAAUGAUUGACUUGAUCAUUCGAUUGGAUUAAUUGGGUUUUGUAAUGAAUGGAGAGCUUAGCCAGGAUUUGAUCCUGCAAUCAUUACCUGAUUCUUUUCCUCAGUUUGUCAUUAAUUUUUAUAUGAACAAACUGAACAUUAGUCUACCAGAGCUGCUCAAUAUGUUGAAGAUAGCUGAGGGCCACUUCAAGAUUGAAAAGGCUCCUGUAAUGCUAGUAGAUGGCACUAAGAAAAUUGGCAAGAAGGGUUCAAAAAAAAAAAUGAUUGAGAAACAAACUGGUAAAAAUAUUAAAACUCUUCGAUCUGAUCGAGAGGAUGAAUACCUAACCUGUGAAUUUCUUGAUUAUUUUAAAGAAAAUAGACACCUCUUUAUACACAAUUAAAUGGUGUCGCAGAAGGGAGGAAUCACACUCUAUUAGAUAUGGUGUGAUCUAUGAUGUGGUUCAUAAACCUUUCAAUCUCAUUCUGAAGCUAUGCACUUGAAAUAGCCGCAUAUGUUCUAAACAAAUUACAUUCAAAAUCUGUUUCUAGCACUCUAUAUGAGAUAUGGAAUGGAAAGAGGUCAAGUCUCAAAUAUUUAAAAGUAUGGGGCUAUUUGGUUUAUGUGAAAAAAGUUGACGGACAUAAGUUCAGUGCUAGAUCGGAGAAGUAUAGAUUUAUGGAUUUUCCCAAGAAGAGUAUAGGAUACUACUAUCAUCUUCCUGAAAAAAAGAUGUUUGUCAGUAGGCAUGCCGCUUUCUUAGAAAAAGAUUUUAUCCGAUAAGGAAGCAGUGGGAGAACGGUUAAACUUAGAGAAGUUCAAGACUCGCAAUCUAUUCCAUAAUAAUUUGUAGAGAGUCCACAUGAUGUUCCUCAACCAGACGUGCCCUUUGAUGAGGUACUAUCACGACACACCUCUUCUCCAAAGGUCAAACAGUGCGUAAUGUACCACUUAGAUAUGUGUUUGUUAUUGAGAAUAAUAAUGAGCCAUACAUCAUUGAGAAUGAUGAUUCUUUGACCCAUUCGGAAGCUGUCAUGAGUAAUGACUCUGAUAGAUGACUUGAAGCCACAAAAUCCGAAAUGGACUCCAUGUAUAUUAACCAAAUAUGGACUUUAGUUGAUGCUCCUGAGAGUGUGAUCCCAAUAGGUUGCAAAUGGAUCUUCAAGAAGAAGAUUGGAGUAGAUGGUCAAGUAGAAAUCUAUAAGGUUAGAUUGGUGGCAAAAGAUUUCAAACAAAGAAAAUGUGUUGACUAUGAAGAGAUCUUUUCACUGGUAGCAAUGCUUAAGUCCGUUUGGAUUUUGCUUGCUAUAGCUGUAUAUUAUGAUUAUGAGAUCUAGUAGAUGAAUGUUAAGACGGUUUUUCUCAAUGAAAAUCUUGAGGAAGAAGUAUAUAUGACUCAGUCAGAAAGGUUUGUCUUUAAUGGGAGGGCAAACCAAGUGUGCAGACUAAAAAAAUCUAUUUAUAGAUUGAAGUAGGCAUUGAGGAGUUGGAAUAUCCAUUUUGAUGAGACAGUCAAAUCGUUUGAUUUCAUAAAAAAUGUAGAUGAAUCAUAUGUGUAUAAGAAGAUUAGUGGGAGCACCAUUUUCUUAGUUUUAUAUAUAGAUGACAUACUGUUCAUUGAAAAUGAUGUCUCGAUGUUGCAAUCGAUCAAGAUUUGGUUAUCACGGAAGUUUUUCAUGGACUUGGGUGAAGCAUCCUACAUGAUAUUAAGAUCUAUAGAGAUAGAUCUAAGAGGAUGUUAGGUUUGUCUCAGUUUAGGUACAGUGUUGAAGAGGUUCAACAUGGAUGGGUGUAAAAAAAGUUACUUACCCAUGAGUUACAGCAUACAUCUCUUUAAGAAGAUGUCUCCUAAGACUUCUGAGGAUAGAGAGAAUGACCACUAUCCCUUAUGCUUCAGCAGUAGGAUCUAUUAUAUAUGUUAUGCUAUGUAUUAGGCCUGAUGUGGCUUAUACAUUAUGUAUAACUAGUAGAUUUCAGGUAGAUCUAGGUGAGGAUCAUUAGAAAGUUGUGAAAAAUAUUCUCAAGUAUUUGAGAAGGAUGAGAUAUUUUUUUGAUAUUGAAGGAUUAGAUUUGAAACUGAAAGGUUAUACUGAUUCUAGUUAUCAGUCUGAUCCAGAUAAUAGCAAAUCCAUCUCAGGAUAUAUUUUUACUCUGUAUAGAGAAGCAGUGAGCUGAAAAAAUUUCAAGUAGCAGACUGUUGCAGACUCAGUCACUAAGGCAGAGUACAUUGUUGCAAGUAAAGCUGCUAAGGAAGUCAUCUGGAUGAAGAAGUUCAUCACUGAGUUAGGUGGUUAUAGAGAUUGAACAUCUCGUGCCAUUUUAUUGUGACAACACUGGGGUUGUUGCCUAGGCGAAGGAAUCAAGGUCUCAUUAGAAAUCCAAGCAUAUCUUCAGAUGCUUCCACCUCAUUCGAAAGAUUGCCGACAGACAAGAUGUGAUCUUAGAGCGAAUCGAUACAAAGAACAAUAUAGCAGAUCUAUUUACUAAGGUCUUGUCACAGUAAUAGUUUGACUGCCAUCUUGAUUGUAUGGGCAUCAGAUACUGAGGUGAUUGGCUUUAGUGCAAGUGAGAGGUUGAAAGAAUAGUGUCCUGCAAGCCAAUUGUAUGAAUGUUGUGAUAGAAUUUUUCUGUAAUAUCUCCAUACAUGUACAUGAUAUUUAUUAAAUAUUAACAACAUGAGACAUUAUAUUUCGUCAUAUGCUAUAUAUUUUAUUUCACUUUGAUUUAAUUAAGAUUAUGAUAAACUUCAUACAUUAAGACAAUGAUUUUAAGACGAUGAUGAGAUCAUGCUAGUGAGACUUGAACCAUGAUAUAUCUAGUUUUAAAUGUUUCUAGUCGUAGGAUCAUCGAGUCGGAGAUUGAUGAUACUGGUAAGAUUGGCACAUCCUUUGCAUGCUCGGUGGAGAGGAUGAUUGAUCUCACAAUCACUUAUAUAUGGACAUUAAUACAAUGAUGUGGGUGCUCAUUAAAAGAAUGAGUUCAUUAAACUGAUCCAGAGGGAGAACAUUUGGAGCCUUACCAGCAUGUCAAAGAUGGUUCUUCAGUAGGAGUGGUGCAAGUGAUCCUUAAAUCUGAGAUCAUCAUUGUACUUUGUGUAUAUGGAUUUGUACUUUGGUUUAUACCCUAGCAUGACUCUUUGAAAUAUGUGUAGGAUGUUUUGGGUAUGGUGAAGUGUGCAUGAAAAUUGAGUGGUCAACAAGAAAUUGGUCAUUCCUAAGAGGAGAGAACAUCCUAUGUGAUCUCACAGGAUAAUGACUCAGUGAGUCUCUAGUCAGAGCAUAAUAAAUAUUGGAAAGAAUUUUUAAUGGUUCAUCAAUCGAGUCGUCAUCAUUAAAUCGAGAUACAUAUGGAUAGAUAUUUGGGCUUGACAUGAUUUCGUGCCCAUAAUCUAUCUGGAAUGUGUGAUUGGAGGAUUGAAUUGCACGGUAACUCAUCAUGAAAGAGUAUUUUGAUAUUCCAUCAAAUUUCACAUCUUUCAGAUAGUCAUGACACAUUGCUAGACAUCAAUCUUAACUUGUAGAUUCUCAUGAAUUAAAAAAUUUAAUUCAAUAAUUUAAUUAAAAGAGUUUUAAUUAAUUGUAACGUACGGACUGAUUUAGUCUAAGACCUAAUCAGAUUAGGUUGACUCAAGUUCGGACCAACUGCUGGCUAGAUGUAGAAUCAAUGGGUUACAAAAGGGAAUUGGUCUUGCAGUUUUGAUUAGGCUUAAGAAGUCCUAAAUCAAUAAAGAUUUGGUAGAAAUCCUAAUGGGUUUAGGUCAAGCAUGCUAGCACAUGAUUAAAUCCAUGAAUUCUCAUCUAUUAGGAUUCCUAAUUGGAUUAGGAAUUAGUUAUGACAAUUGGUUGGCGCCUAACUAACUCUAUCCCUCUCUUUUCUUUUUUAUGAAGGAAUCCUUGUUGGACAAGGAUCCCUCCUUGCUCCCUAUUCCAUACGCCUAAGGGUUGGGCGUUGGGUUUAUGAUGUUGGGUUUAUGAUGGAGUCCUAAAAGGACUCCAAGGAUGACUCACAUGGGACGCCCGAGAGUUGGGGUCCCAUAUGGAUACUUGUUUAUAAAAGGGGCUGAUGCCCAAGGGAUUUAGGGGUUGGUUUUCCACAUGUCUAAGAGCGAGGAAAAGAGAGAAGUCAUAAGCCAAAGGUUGCUGGUGCAAGGAGAAGAGGAAGAAAGCGUGUGCUGAAUUCUUCAGAAGAAAUUCAGCAAAACUAGAUUGG
rnacentral:lncRNA from 1 species